rfam:Ornithorhynchus anatinus chromosome 15, whole genome shotgun sequence.
GUAGUCAUGGCCGAAUGGGUAAGGCACUGGACUAGAAAUCCACUGGGGUUUCCCCAUGCAGGUUUAAAUCCUGCUGACCACA